rnacentral:rRNA from 1 species
GACGAACGCUGGCGGCGUGCUUAACACAUGCAAGUCGAACGAAGAGCGAUGGAAGCUUGCUUCUAUCACUCUUAGUGGCGAACGGGUGAGUAACGCGUAAUCAACCUGCCCUUCAGAGGGGGACAACAGUUGGAAACGACUGCUAAUACCGCAUACGAUCUAACCUCGGCAUCGAGGAAAGAUGAAAGGUGGCCUCUAUGUAUAAGCUAUCACUGAAGGAGGGGAUUGCGUCUGAUUAGCUAGUUGGAGGGGUAACGGCCCACCAAGGCGAUGAUCAGUAGCCGGUCUGAGAGGAUGAACGGCCACAUUGGGACUGAGACACGGCCCAGACUCCUACGGGAGGCAGCAGUGGGGAAUCUUCCGCAAUGGACGAAAGUCUGACGGAGCAACGCCGCGUGAGUGAUGACGGCCUUCGGGUUGUAAAGCUCUGUUAAUCGGGACGAAAGGCCUUCUUGCGAAUAGUUAGGAGGAUUGACGGUACCGGAAGAGAAAGCCACGGCUAACUACGUG